rnacentral:lncRNA from 1 species
AUGCGGGAGACGCUCUCUCUCCCCCGCCUCCCCCACGAUCGUCCCCUGUGUCCCAGGCCUGGAGGAGCUGUGGUUCCAAGAAACGGCAGACGGCAGGCCACGAGGAUUGGGCUGUUGGGCAGAGCCCAGCGGAGCGAGCGCGCUAGCGCGGAGACAGUGCGCAGCCGGGCUGUCGAGCCGGAAAGCCGCGGCGGGCACCGGGCAGUGGCGAGGCGGGGAGACUUGAGCGGCGCGGAGGGGCGGCGGAGGGCCGGAGCGUGGGGCCGCGGGCGCCGAGUAGGCGGCGGAGGGCCGGAGGACUGCGCGGCGGAGGGCCGGAGGACUGCGCGCCGGGCGUACGGGGCAGUCGGGGCGCAGGUGGCAGGGCGCGCGGCCAGCCGGCUCCGGGCGCCAGAAUCCGGCGCUGCCUAG